rnacentral:rRNA from 1 species
AGUGAACGCUGGCGGUAGGCCUAACACAUGCAAGUCGAACGGCAGCACAGUAAGAGCUUGCUCUUACGGGUGGCGAGUGGCGGACGGGUGAGGAAUACAUCGGAAUCUACUUUUUCGUGGGGGAUAACGUAGGGAAACUUACGCUAAUACCGCAUACGACCUACGGGUGAAAGCAGGGGAUCUUCGGACCUUGCGCGAUUGAAUGAGCCGAUGUCGGAUUAGCUAGUUGGCGGGGUAAAGGCCCACCAAGGCGACGAUCCGUAGCUGGUCUGAGAGGAUGAUCAGCCACACUGGAACUGAGACACGGUCCAGACUCCUACGGGAGGCAGCAGUGGGGAAUAUUGGACAGUGGGCGCAAGCCUGAUCCAGCCAUACCGCGUGGGUGAAGAAGGCCUUCGGGUUGUAAAGCCCUUUUGUUGGGAAAGAAGAGCAGCAGGUUAAUACCCCGCUGUUCUGACGGUACCCAAAGAAUAAGCACCGGCUAACUUCGUG